GGGACAUCUCAGCUUAUCACAUGUCAGAGCAAUGCUUAGCACACACUGAGGGAUACCGAAUUCCAUCUCACUGCAAAUUGUUCCUGAUUCACAUUGCAAUUGCUCACAGCUCCUGGGAAAAACACAUCUAGAAUUGAUGUACUGCCUACACCUAGGCGAACCAGAAGAGCAUGAUUCUGGCCAUACUUGCUCUACACAAAAUCGCUUCCCAGGACAGUUCCUAUCACUACAUCUUCGCACUACACACUUGUCUGUCACUUCUCUACCUCUCCAGAAAAAAGUCGCCGUGCAUUCUCUAUUGCAGGGAUUCACUCGGCAUUCGGCAUUGAGGUAUCGGUCGCAUUGUUCUCCCUCACACACAUUAGGACAGUCUUGGACUGGGUUUGGGCACUCAUCUUGCGAAAAUGCAGCUGCUACUAGCAUGAGGACAAUAAUUACUAUACUCAUAUUUAAAUUUUUAGUAGCAAGGUAUUGGUUCUUCGAUUCUUGGAGUUAAUUGUGUGAGGAGAAGGGUUAGAGCCUACCAAAUUAAUAUUGCAUUCAUUUGGUCAAGGGUCAAAUGCAUUCAUCCUUUGUACUGGGAAAUUAUGCAUGCAUGUGGCUGCCUCAAUAGAAACCAUACACACUCAAGUACCGCAACACAGAUGGCUUUAUGACAAUAGUAACCAUAAUGAUGUGUCUGGUGUAACAAUAAUUAUACACUAUCACGAGACAGGAGAUUGAUCCCUUGAGAUGAUUCAAGUAUCCAGAAAACAGUAGAUCGAUCUAAUCAUCCUGUCACUGAAACCUUGAGGAUGCAAUCAUGCGAGAAGGAUGCAAUCAUGCGUGCGAGAAGACUAUAGGACAGUCUUGGACUGGGCCGUUUGGGCACUCAUCUUGCCAAAAUGCAGCUGCUACUAGCAUGAGG